CUUUCCUUGAUGACGACUGGCGCACGGGUGAGUAACGCGUAUCCAACCUUCCCAUAACUACGGGAUAACCCGUUGAAAGACGGCCUAAUACCGUAUGAUAUCGUUUGCUGACAUCAAAUAACGAUUAAAGGUUUAGCGGUUAUGGAUGGGGAUGCGUCUGAUUAGCUUGUUGGCGGGGUAACGGCCCACCAAGGCUACGAUCAGUAGGGGUUCUGAGAGGAAGGUCCCCCACAUUGGAACUGAGACACGGUCCAAACUCCUACGGGAGGCAGCAGCG
rnacentral:rRNA from 1 species